rnacentral:rRNA from 1 species
CCUACGGGAGGCAGCAGUAGGGAAUUUUCGUCAAUGGGCGCAAGCCUGAACGAGCGAUGCCGCGUGAGUGAAGAAGGCCUUCGGGUCGUAAAGCUCUGUUGCGGGGGAAAAAAGGCAGCAUCAGGAAAUGGGUGCUGACUGAUGGUGCCCCGCCAGAAAGUCACGGCUAACUACGUGCCAGCAGCCGCGGUAAUACGGAGGUGGCGAGCGUUAUCCGGAAGGGUUGGGCGUAAAGGGUGCGUAGGCGGUCCUGCAAGUCCGGAGUGAAACGCAUGAGCUAAACGCAUGCAUGGCUUUGGAAUCGGGAGGACUGGAGAGCAGGAGAGGGCGGUGGAACUCCGUGUGGAGCAGUAAAAUGCGUAGAUAUAUGGAAGAACACCAGUGGCGAAGGCGGCCGCAUGGCCUGUUGCUGACGCUGAGGCACGAAAGCGUGGGGAGCAAAUAGGAUUAGAUACCCUAGUAGUC